rnacentral:rRNA from 1 species
UAGGGAAUAUUGGACAAUGGGGGCAACCCUGAUCCAGCCAUGCCGCGUGAGUGAAGAAGGCCCUCGGGUUGUAAAGCUCUUUUGUCCGGAAAGAAAAGCAUUCGGUGAAUACCCGGAUGUUCUGACGGUACCGGAAGAAUAAGCACCGGCUAACUUCGUGCCAGCAGCCGCGGUAAUACGAAGGGUGCAAGCGUUACUCGGAAUUACUGGGCGUAAAGCGUGCGUAGGUGGUUGUUUAAGUCUGAUGUGAAAGCCCUGGGCUCAACCUGGGAAUGGCAUUGGAAACUGGGCAGCUAGAGUGCGGUAGAGGGUAGUGGAAUUCCCGGUGUAGCAGUGAAAUGCGUAGAGAUCGGGAGGAACAUCUGUGGCGAAGGCGACUGCCUGGACCAGCACUGACACUGAGGCACGAAAGCGUGG